rnacentral:rRNA from 1 species
GAUGAACGCUGGCGGCGUGCCUAAUACAUGCAAGUCGAGCGAAUGGAUUAAGAGCUUGCUCUUAUGAAGUUAGCGGCGGACGGGUGAGUAACACGUGGGUAACCUGCCCAUAAGACUGGGAUAACUCCGGGAAACCGGGGCUAAUACCGGAUAACAUUUUGAACCGCAUGGUUCGACAUUGAAAGGCGGCUUCGGCUGUCACUUAUGGACGGACCCGCGACGCAUUAGCUAGUUGGUGAGGUAACGGCCCACCAAGGCAACGAUGCGUAGCCGACCUGAGAGGGUAAUCGGCCACACUGGGACGGAGACACGGCCCAGACUCCUACGGGAGGCAGCAGUAGGGAAUCUUCCGCAAUGGACGAAAGUCUGACGGAGCAACGCCGCGUGAGUGAUGAAGGCUUUCGGGUCGUAAAACUCUGUUGUUAGGGAAGAACAAGUGCUAGUUGAAUAAGCUGGCACCUUGACGGUACCUAACCAGAAAGCCACGGCUAACUACGUGCCAGCCGCCGCCGUAA